rnacentral:misc_RNA from 1 species
AUGCGCGGCGCGGGGGCGAUCCUGCGGCCGGCGGCGCGUGGUGCCCGGGUGAGCACCCCCGCCCUGCACCAGCCCCCGUCCCGAACCCCAGCCGGGCCCCUGCCAGCCCCCACUCCAGCCCCGGCCCGGCCGAGCAUCCCGGAGCUCCCGGCCCGUCCCGCCGGUGUCUGGCUUGCCUCAGCUCACAGGCUUUUCCCGAGCGCCAGUCCCUGCCAGGACCUCCGCAGCCAGCACCUUCUCUUGCGACCUUUUUCUUACCCUCUCAUUCCUCCCUCGCCCCUUCAGCCCUGUCACCUCCUCCUUCCUAGAUGGCCUCCCGUGUCCUUCCCUUUCCACUGAUUUUAUUUUUCCGUUUCCAAACCACCGUCUUGUGAUGCCUGCCAUGCUUGCGUACCUUGCAGGACCUGAACCCGCGGCGGGACAUCUCCUCCUGGCUGGCCCAGUGGUUCCCUAGAACCCCAGCCAGGUCCGUGGUGGCCCUGAAGACCCCCAUCAAGGUGGAGCUGGUGGCAGGGAAAACCUACAGGUGGUGUGUGUGUGGCCGCAGCAAGAAGCAGCCCUUCUGUGACGGCUCCCACUUCUUCCAACGCACUGGCCUAUCUCCACUCAAGUUCAAGGCCCAAGAGACCCGCAUGGUGGCACUCUGUACCUGCAAGGCCACUCAGAGGCCCCCGUACUGCGAUGGCACCCACAGGAGUGAGCGCGUGCAGAAGGCAGAAGUGGGCUCCCCACUCUGAGGGGGCUGCUGCUGUCCAGCCACAGGUGGCCUUGGCUCCAGGCCUCUGACAGGCACCCCCUUCUGUGGGAAAGGAAACAGGUGCUGAGCCCAAGAGACUCUGGUACCCACUGCUGGCUCAUGAAGGAAGAAUUAUUCCUUAUAACCUAAAAGUCUCCAGUCUGGGGCAGGCGGGAGUGGGCCCUGGUUCAAUGUUUGCUGAUGGGGAAGAUGGCAAAAACAAGCCUGCCCAACCAGACUGGUAGUCCUGCAGUCACUGCUAUGAGGCCCACGUGCUGCCUCCUGCUCCAGAUUUUAACCUCUCUGUGGGCUGGGGGCACCUGACCAGCCACAGGAGAGGGCAGUUCAGAUUCAUUCUGUAUGGGGUCCCCAAGCCAGGCUAAACCCAGAGAUGAGAGGCACCCUUCCCUUCUUCCCUCCACCCCAAAGAACUACAGGCUCCAGAAAGUAUGCAGCAUUUAUUACAAAGCCAAGAGAUACAGAUGUCCCAGGGCAAAGGAGGGUACAGUCACAGGACCUCAGACACAGGACAAGGUGCAAACACAGACAAGCCCAUCAGGGGGCUCCCAACCCCACACACCUACGCUAUGAUGGAAUCUCGAGUCUCGACUCCCGACUCCUCUCAGAUCUAUGCACACUUGAGGAAAUCUCGGUGGGCAGCGACCUGCCAGGGUCUGUCCCUAAGGAGGUGGUCCGCUGACCUCUCAAGGGGUGGGGGUGGGGUCAGAGCUUACAGGUUUCUGUCUUCUUGUGCUUUUAGAUGCAGUUGCUCUGUCCUGACCAGGUGACCGGGCCUCAGCUGGGGGUGGAGGGGCAAUUGGAAGGCUGUUUGCCUCUGGCAAAGUCUGGGAUCUGUGCUUGUGUGAGGUUAACCCACCCCCACUUCCACUCUAGGCCCCAGGUGAGACUCCACCACCAGUCCUGCUAGUGAGGGUUCCCCGGUGAGGGUAAGGUUGGUGGGGGUGCAGCGCUUCACAAUGCUAAAGCCUUAGCCCUCCUCCAAGAGCUGAGACCUCUCAGGGCCUGAAUCUUCUUUUCCACAAGAUAAAUGAUGCAAAGGCCACACACACAGGAAAAAAAAAAAAAGAGGCAGAACUAUCUAUUCUUUGCACAAAGUUUCCACUGCAAGAGGAGGAGGUGAUGCAGGUGCCACCUCCACCCUGCACUUGCUCCUCAGAACCAGGGAUAAACUGCAUUUGUAAAAGGCACUGUUCUUAGCAAUUUCUGGACAUUCAACAACGUGGGGGGCGGCCACUGGUCAGAGGCAGGACAGCAGCCAAGAUGGGGAGAGAAACGGGGAGAGAAAGAAACGAUUCUAACUGACUCCUAUAUGCAGCCAGUUGGAAUCAUGCCUAAAGCUUUGGGUCUGAAGGGGCCCCCAACACACCACCUGCCUUGGGAAACAGCGAGGAUGGUGCAGAGCUUUAUUGAGACUCCAGUGGCCCAUCCAGUUCAUCUCCAGGCACCCCCAAAAACAGCAAAUUACACAAGACCCCCCCCAAAAAAAAUGAACACCAUUUUCCACACAUACACACACACAUAAAGUUUGUUUCCUGUGGCAUUUAAAUUAAUCUGGUUGGUCCAUAGAAA